rnacentral:rRNA from 1 species
UACAGAGGUCUCAAGCGUUGUUCGGAUUCAUUGGGCGUAAAGGGUGCGUAGGUGGCGGGGUAAGUCAGAUGUGAAAUCUCGGAGCUCAACUCCGAAACUGCAUUUGAUACUGCCUUGCUUGAGUACUGGAGAGGAGACUGGAAUUUACGGUGUAGCGGUGAAAUGCGUAGAUAUCGUAAGGAAGACCAGUGGCGAAGGCGGGUCUCUGGACAGUUCCUGACGCUGAGGCACGAAGGCCAGGGGAGCAAACGGG